rnacentral:rRNA from 1 species
AUUGAACGCUGGCGGCAGGCUUAACACAUGCAAGUCGAGCGGAGAUGAGGUGCUUGCACCUUAUCUUAGCGGCGGACGGGUGAGUAAUGCUUAGGAAUCUGCCUAUUAGUGGGGGACAACAUUCCGGAAGGAAUGCUAAUACCGCAUACGUCCUACGGGAGAAAGCAGGGGAUCUUCGGACCUUGCGCUAAUAGAUGAGCCUAAGUCGGAUUAGCUAGUUGGUGGGGUAAAGGCCUACCAAGGCGACGAUCUGUAGCGGGUCUGAGAGGAUGAUCCGCCACACUGGGACUGAGAAACGGCCCAGACUCCUACGGGAGGCAGCAGUGGGGAAUAUUGGACAAUGGGGGAAACCCUGAUCCAGCCAUGCCGCGUGUGUGAAGGAGGCCUUUUGGUUGUAAAGCACUUUAAGCGAGGAGGAGGCUACUGGUAUUAAUACUACCGGAUAGUGGACGUUACUCGCAGAAUAAGCACCGGCUAACUCUGUGCCAGCCGCCGCGGUAAUAC